UUAAGCGACUAAGCGUACACGGUGGAUGCCCUGGCAGUCAGAGGCGAUGAAGGACGUGCUAAUCUGCGAUAAGCGUCGGUAAGGUGAUAUGAACCGUUAUAACCGGCGAUUUCCGAAUGGGGAAACCCAGUGUGAUCCGUCACACUAUCAUUAACUGAAUCCAUAGGUUAAUGAGGCGAACCGGGGGAACUGAAACAUCUAAGUACCCCGAGGAAAAGAAAUCAACCGAGAUUCCCCCAGUAGCGGCGAGCGAACGGGGAGGAGCCCAGAGCCUGAAUCAGUAUGUGUGUUAGUGGAAGCGUCUGGAAAGGCGUGCGAUACAGGGUGACAGCCCCGUACACAAAAAUGCACAUGCUGUGAGCUCGAUGAGUAGGGCGGGACACGUGGUAUCCUGUCUGAAUAUGGGGGGACCAUCCUCCAAGGCUAAAUACUCCUGACUGACCGAUAGUGAACCAGUACCGUGAGGGAAAGGCGAAAAGAACCCCGGCGAGGGGAGUGAAAAAGAACCUGAAACCGUGUACGUACAAGCAGUGGGAGCCUCUUUAUGGGGUGACUGCGUACCUUUUGUAUAAUGGGUCAGCGACUUAUAUUCUGUAGCAAGGUUAACCGAAUAGGGGAGCCGAAGGGAAACCGAGUCUUAACUGGGCGUUAAGUUGCAGGGUAUAGACCCGAAACCCGGUGAUCUAGCCAUGGGCAGGUUGAAGGUUGGGUAACACUAACUGGAGGACCGAACCGACUAAUGUUGAAAAAUUAGCGGAUGACUUGUGGCUGGGGGUGAAAGGCCAAUCAAACCGGGAGAUAGCUGGUUCUCCCCGAAAGCUAUUUAGGUAGCGCCUCGUGAAUUCAUCUCCGGGGGUAGAGCACUGUUUCGGCAAGGGGGUCAUCCCGACUUACCAACCCGAUGCAAACUGCGAAUACCGGAGAAUGUUAUCACGGGAGACACACGGCGGGUGCUAACGUCCGUCGUGAAGAGGGAAACAACCCAGACCGCCAGCUAAGGUCCCAAAGUCAUGGUUAAGUGGGAAACGAUGUGGGAAGGCCCAGACAGCCAGGAUGUUGGCUUAGAAGCAGCCAUCAUUUAAAGAAAGCGUAAUAGCUCACUGGUCGAGUCGGCCUGCGCGGAAGAUGUAACGGGGCUAAACCAUGCACCGAAGCUGCGGCAGCGACACUAUGUGUUGUUGGGUAGGGGAGCGUUCUGUAAGCCGUUGAAGGUGUGCUGUGAGGCAUGCUGGAGGUAUCAGAAGUGCGAAUGCUGACAUAAGUAACGAUAAAGCGGGUGAAAAGCCCGCUCGCCGGAAGACCAAGGGUUCCUGUCCAACGUUAAUCGGGGCAGGGUGAGUCGACCCCUAAGGCGAGGCCGAAAGGCGUAGUCGAUGGGAAACAGGUUAAUAUUCCUGUACUUGGUGUUACUGCGAAGGGGGGACGGAGAAGGCUAUGUUGGCCGGGCGACGGUUGUCCCGGUUUAAGCGUGUAGGCUGAUUUUCCAGGCAAAUCCGGAGAAUCAAGGCUGAGGCGUGAUGACGAGGCACUACGGUGCUGAAGCAACAAAUGCCCUGCUUCCAGGAAAAGCCUCUAAGCAUCAGGUAACAUCAAAUCGUACCCCAAACCGACACAGGUGGUCAGGUAGAGAAUACCAAGGCGCUUGAGAGAACUCGGGUGAAGGAACUAGGCAAAAUGGUGCCGUAACUUCGGGAGAAGGCACGCUGAUAUGUAGGUGAAGCGACUUGCUCGUGGAGCUGAAAUCAGUCGAAGAUACCAGCUGGCUGCAACUGUUUAUUAAAAACACAGCACUGUGCAAACACGAAAGUGGACGUAUACGGUGUGACGCCUGCCCGGUGCCGGAAGGUUAAUUGAUGGGGUCAGCCGCAAGGCGAAGCUCUUGAUCGAAGCCCCGGUAAACGGCGGCCGUAACUAUAACGGUCCUAAGGUAGCGAAAUUCCUUGUCGGGUAAGUUCCGACCUGCACGAAUGGCGUAAUGAUGGCCAGGCUGUCUCCACCCGAGACUCAGUGAAAUUGAACUCGCUGUGAAGAUGCAGUGUACCCGCGGCAAGACGGAAAGACCCCGUGAACCUUUACUAUAGCUUGACACUGAACAUUGAGCCUUGAUGUGUAGGAUAGGUGGGAGGCUUUGAAGUGUGGACGCCAGUCUGCAUGGAGCCGACCUUGAAAUACCACCCUUUAAUGUUUGAUGUUCUAACGUGGACCCGUGAUCCGGGUUGCGGACAGUGUCUGGUGGGUAGUUUGACUGGGGCGGUCUCCUCCUAAAGAGUAACGGAGGAGCACGAAGGUUGGCUAAUCCUGGUCGGACAUCAGGAGGUUAGUGCAAUGGCAUAAGCCAGCUUGACUGCGAGCGUGACGGCGCGAGCAGGUGCGAAAGCAGGUCAUAGUGAUCCGGUGGUUCUGAAUGGAAGGGCCAUCGCUCAACGGAUAAAAGGUACUCCGGGGAUAACAGGCUGAUACCGCCCAAGAGUUCAUAUCGACGGCGGUGUUUGGCACCUCGAUGUCGGCUCAUCACAUCCUGGGGCUGAAGUAGGUCCCAAGGGUAUGGCUGUUCGCCAUUUAAAGUGGUACGCGAGCUGGGUUUAGAACGUCGUGAGACAGUUCGGUCCCUAUCUGCCGUGGGCGCUGGAGAACUGAGGGGGGCUGCUCCUAGUACGAGAGGACCGGAGUGGACGCAUCACUGGUGUUCGGGUUGUCAUGCCAAUGGCACUGCCCGGUAGCUAAAUGCGGAAGAGAUAAGUGCUGAAAGCAUCUAAGCACGAAACUUGCCCCGAGAUGAGUUCUCCCUGAGACUUUAAGUCUCCUGAAGGAACGUUGAAGACGACGACGUUGAUAGGCCGGGUGUGUAAGCGCAGCGAUGCGUUGAGCUAACCGGUACUAAUGAACCGUGAGGCUUAACCUU
rnacentral:rRNA from 2 species